rnacentral:ncRNA from 1 species
AACAACUUAAAAGCGCUUGAACUAUUUUUCAUGUGAAGAAGAAUAGUUGACGAGGAGGAGGAUUAUCGAACUUUCAGCGGGUGCCUCCCGGUUGCACAAUCACAGCCGUAAGUUUCUAUCUAAAACAAAGAGGUGACUCUUUGCACAAAGUUAGAAAUGUGAUCAUUA